rnacentral:lncRNA from 1 species
AGCGAUGGAGACUGCGGCCCAAGUUAGGAUUAGGACAGCGGUUUUUCAGUCCGGAGAUUCCGGCCACAACUAUUUUUGUCUGUUUUUAUCGUAAGCCAGAGUCUUUGGGUGCAGCUCUGGGACACCUAAAGGGCCUGGAGAAAUUCAGGCGGGGCCAGUGCUGUGGGGGUAGAUGUUAGACGUGGAAGGGACCCUAGAGAGCCUUGACUGUGAGGACUGAGGCAGGGCCUCCUUUGUUGCCCAGGCCGGAGUGCAGUGGCUAUUCACAGGUCGAUAAUGCAAUCAUGGUGCACACUACAGCCUUGAACUUCUGGGCUCAUGUGAUCCUUCUGCCUCAGCCUCCCAGGGCUAUCCUCAUCAUACAUAUACUGUGAAGAUAAAAUAUCUGUUGAAGAUUCUUUGAGCACCUUGGGCCAGAAGAGCUACAGAAAGCCAAGGUGUGGCUGUGAUGACACUGAAUUCAGCUCAAGACCCAGGAGAACCUUACAUCUAUUCUUAUUUCCACAAGGAAGUGCACACAUGGCUAAUGCAAAUUCUUCCAUAAUAAUGAUAUAAACUUGAGUUGUCCAGGUUUGAUGAGACCCACAUCUUGUAUAUACAGUGUCAUCUACUGCCUCUGUUAGGGGCUCUAGGGGAUAAAGGAAACUAUAUUAAGAAAUGCAGCAUCUGUUUCUCCCUGUGUGACCACCCUACUUCCAAGAAGUUUCUGUAUCCUUGGCUGAAGUGCACUGUGUGUAUGUGUAUGUGUGUACACUCUUCUACAUCAAUCUGUAAGUCACUGAAAUGCUGCAGAUGUUUUAAAAAAAUUCCACCAUACUUGCUUACUUUAAACUUUGAAACAGGCAAAUAGCUAAGGCCAAUAACACUAGAUAGAAUUAAGUAAUUAAUAAUUUAACAGCACAAUUUAACAUUGUGCUUCUUAGGAUGGGCAGGGAUUGGUUAAUGGAUACAAAAUUAUAGCUAGAUAGGAGGAAUGAGUUCUGGUGUUCUGGAGCACUGUAGGAUGAAUAUGGCUAACUAUAAUUUAUUGUAUACUGUCAAAAGUCUAGAAGAAAGGAUUUUAAAUGUUCACAACACAAAUAAUAAAUUUUUGAGAUAAUGCAUAUCUGGUUUGAUUGUUAUACAUUGUAUACAGUAUUAAAAUAUCACUAUGUAUCCCAUGAAUAUGUAAAAUUAUUAUUUAUUAUUUUAAAAAUAAAAGGGGAGGAAAGA